AAAUAAUUCCCUUACGUUUGUGUAUUAAAAUUAAAAGAGUUGUGUUGACCAAAUUAGAAAAAGUAAUAUUUCAAAUUUACACAGUUCACUUAAGUAAAGUGAAUGAAAUGGAGUUGAGUUGCUUCUGCAGUACCGCACUUUGGUCAGCAGGUGGAGUAAUAUCUGCACAUGCGCAGAUGUACAGCACAUUCAAAGAUCACUCUUCAGCGAUCGGCGCCAUUUUUGAAUCAGACGAAGAUCACAGUGCCAAACGAGGAACGUUUUCUUUAUGUGGAAACACAGAGUUGUAGAGUUCUACAUGUGGCUGUGCAGAGAUUGUGGUUCCUCUCACACAUCCAGAUCAAAUCCAGCACUCUUUAUAGAGCAAGAGGUAUCUGUGAAAUUCAGUUGGACUACAACAAUCCCUUUGGUCUCCAAAUAUAUGGGACUGCUUGAUCAUUUCUCAAACCAAAGAAAGGAGCAGCAGCAGCACAGAAGAUCAC